rnacentral:rRNA from 1 species
GGGCUAGCCUCAUACAAGUCUUGCGGAGGUAGAGCACUGAAUUUCCUAGGGGGCGUCAAAGCUUACCGAAGAAUAUCAAACUCCGAAUGCCGCGUAGAUGGUGUAUGGGAGUCAGACUGCACGAGAUAAGUUGGGUAGUCAAAAGGGAAAGAGCCCAGACCUGCAGCUAAGGUCCCAAAAUGUGUGUUAAGUGGAAAAGGAUGUGGGAUUUCGAAGACAACUAGGAUGUUGGCUCAGAAGCAGCCAUACAUUCAAAGAGUGCGUAAUAGCUCACUAGUCGAGAGGUCCUGCGCCGAAAAUGUCCGGGGCUGAAACACACUGCCGAAGCUCAGGAAUGUACUUGUACAUUGGUAGAGGAGCAUUGUAUACGGGAAGAAGCAGUACCGAUAAGGAGCUGUGGACUGUAUAGAAGAGAGAAUGCCGGAAUGAGUAGCGAGAGGAAGGUGAGAAUCCUUCCGGCCGAAUAUCUAAGGUUUCCAGAGUAAAGCUGAUCUGCUCUGGGUAAGUCGGGGCCUAAGGCCAGGUCGAAAGACGUAACCGAUGGACAACAGGUUGAAAUUCCUGUACCGCGAUAUAACAGAACUGUGGGGACACGUGUGGAGAGCACAAGCCGGGAAUGGAGAGCCCGGCGCAAGCGAGGUAGGAGUCGUACCGGCAAAUCCGUACGGCAAUCCGAAGACGUGAUGCGUACCGAAAUAGAAGUAGGGAAGAGUGUGAGCCAUGCGUCAAGAAAAGCCGCUAUUGUUUGUAUCGCGCCCGUACCGUAAACCGACACAGGUGGAUGAGGAGAGAAUCCUAAGGCCGACGGGAGAAGCAUUGUUAAGGAACUCGGCAAAAUGACUCCGUAACUUCGGGAGAAGGAGUGCCAGUGAGAGCUGGCCGCAGAGAAUUGGCCCAAGCAACUGUUUAGCAAAAACACAGGUCUAUGCAAAACCGAAAGGUGAAGUAUAUGGGCUGACGCCUGCCCGGUGCUGGAAGGUUAAGGGGAGAGGUUAGCGCAAGCGAAGCUUUGAACUUAAGCCCCAGUAAACGGCGGCCGUAACUAUAACGGUCCUAAGGUAGCGAAAUUCCUUGUCGGGUAAGUUCCGACCCGCACGAAAGGCGUAAUGAUUUGGGCACUGUCUCAACAAUGCACCCGGUGAAAUUGAAAUACCAGUGAAGAUGCUGGUUACCUGCGCCAGGACGGAAAGACCCCAUGGAGCUUUACUCCAGCUUGAUACUGGGAUUCGGUAUUGCAUGUACAGGAUAGGUGGGAGGCUAGGAAGUGAUGACGCCAGUUGUCACAGAGCCGCUGUUGGGAUACCACCCUUGCAGUAUUGGAUUUCUAACCAGAGGCCGUGAACCGGUCUGGGGACAAUG